rnacentral:lncRNA from 1 species
CUGCUCUUCUCCGAGACUCUGCUACCUGCUGAGAGACCCUUGAGACAUUCCUGAGACACAUCCUAUCCUUCAUGUCACCUACAGGCUUGGCUCCAGAUAUCUAGUUAUGUUGGUCCUAUCAAGGAUUGUCGUGAGAUAAAGAAAAAAGUCUCUGGGAAACUUAUCAGACUAUUCACAAUAAGGUGUUCAAAACGUCGUUCAUCUGCUAAAGGUCUUCCAUGAUGGAACAGUUUGUGUGCAUGCUCUUAUCCGCAGAAGAAGUUAUCUCUCCAUCUAACUCACAUCUGGCCAUGGUCCAGAAAUGGAGAAUUCUGAGUGCUUGUGAGAAAGCUCCAAGAAACCAAGACAAGAGUCUUGUGACCUGUUUCUCCAAAAUAGAGAACUGUUCUUGGCAUGGUUUUUUGUGCCUCUCAAGGUGUAGUGGAUAAGAGUGAGUUUACUUCAGAUUACUCACUAUUGUUUGCUGCUGUUAGUCAAUUAAACAUUUAAACUAUCCUUU